rnacentral:piRNA from 1 species
UGGGAAGCUUUUGCCUUAUACAUUCUGUUA